UUGAAGAGUUUGAUCAUGGCUCAGAUUGAACGCUGGCGGCAGGCCUAACACAUGCAAGUCGAACGGUAGCACAGAGAGCUUGCUCUCGGGUGACGAGUGGCGGACGGGUGAGUAAUGUCUGGGAAACUGCCUGAUGGAGGGGGAUAACUACUGGAAACGGUAGCUAAUACCGCAUAACGUCGCAAGACCAAAGAGGGGGACCUUCGGGCCUCUUGCCAUCAGAUGUGCCCAGAUGGGAUUAGCUAGUAGGUGAGGUAACGGCUCACCUAGGCGACGAUCCCUAGCUGGUCUGAGAGGAUGACCAGCCACACUGGAACUGAGACACGGUCCAGACUCCUACGGGAGGCAGCAGUGGGGAAUAUUGCACAAUGGGCGCAAGCCUGAUGCAGCCAUGCCGCGUGUAUGAAGAAGGCCUUCGGGUUGUAAAGUACUUUCAGCGGGGAGGAAGGCGAUAAGGUUAAUAACCUUGUCGAUUGACGUUACCCGCAGAAGAAGCACCGGCUAACUCCGUGCCAGCAGCCGCGGUAAUACGGAGGGUGCAAGCGUUAAUCGGAAUUACUGGGCGUAAAGCGCACGCAGGCGGUCUGUCAAGUCGGAUGUGAAAUCCCCGGGCUCAACCUGGGAACUGCAUUCGAAACUGGCAGGCUAGAGUCUUGUAGAGGGGGGUGGAAUUCCAGGUGUAGCGGUGAAAUGCGUAGAGAUCUGGAGGAAUACCGGUGGCGAAGGCGGCCCCCUGGACAAAGACUGACGCUCAGGUGCGAAAGCGUGGGGAGCAAACAGGAUUAGAUACCCUGGUAGUCCACGCCGUAAACGAUGUCGACUUGGAGGUUGUGCCCUUGAGGCGUGGCUUCCGGAGCUAACGCGUUAAGUCGACCGCCUGGGGAGUACGGCCGCAAGGUUAAAACUCAAAUGAAUUGACGGGGGCCCGCACAAGCGGUGGAGCAUGUGGUUUAAUUCGAUGCAACGCGAAGAACCUUACCUACUCUUGACAUCCAGAGAACUUUCCAGAGAUGGAUUGGUGCCUUCGGGAACUCUGAGACAGGUGCUGCAUGGCUGUCGUCAGCUCGUGUUGUGAAAUGUUGGGUUAAGUCCCGCAACGAGCGCAACCCUUAUCCUUUGUUGCCAGCGGUUAGGCCGGGAACUCAAAGGAGACUGCCAGUGAUAAACUGGAGGAAGGUGGGGAUGACGUCAAGUCAUCAUGGCCCUUACGAGUAGGGCUACACACGUGCUACAAUGGCGCAUACAAAGAGAAGCGACCUCGCGAGAGCAAGCGGACCUCAUAAAGUGCGUCGUAGUCCGGAUUGGAGUCUGCAACUCGACUCCAUGAAGUCGGAAUCGCUAGUAAUCGUGGAUCAGAAUGCCACGGUGAAUACGUUCCCGGGCCUUGUACACACCGCCCGUCACACCAUGGGAGUGGGUUGCAAAAGAAGUAGGUAGCUUAACCUUCGGGAGGGCGCUUACCACUUUGUGAUUCAUGACUGGGGUGAAGUCGUAACAAGGUAACCGUAGGGGAACCUGCGGUUGGAUCACCUCCUU
rnacentral:rRNA from 1 species